CUCGAAAUCGUCUAGUUGGUUUAUGGCGUUGGACUGUAACGGCAAACUUGCUAUCCAAAUGUCGGCGGUUCGAAUCCGCCUUUCGAGA